GCUGAUCCUACAAGAACAAAAGAAUUAUCUAUAUUCUUUUGAAUAAUAAAACUAAUACUAAAAGAAAUAAUAUUGCAUUUUUCGCUUGAAGAUAAUCUUGACAUAUAUAAAUCUUUAUAGUAGUAACUGGUCUUUUAAUUGAUUUGAAUGACAAAAUAACUUCUCCGGAUCUUCUAUGCUUGGAUUGCUUUUCCAUAACUUGGUGCGUAUGACAUACACGAAUGAGUUCAAGCCACUAUGCGUUAAUAGCAUUAACGGAGGAAUAUGCCACACUAUCAGGCUCCAUUGAUUGAAGAUAUGCAUCAGUAAAACAAGAUCUAAAUUCUCCAACAAAAUAAAAUCAAAUAUCAUACCUUUAAGAACAAACCUUCAUAAAGAAGGAAAUAAACUCUCACGGAAGAAGGAACAGAAGAACUCCAAAUAUGGAGACAAAGCAACAAUAACAUAAAACAAAGAGAAAAACAAAUCUAUUAAAAGAAAAUAGAUCUGAGUUUAUUAAAAACGAAUAAAAUAUUAAAAGUGAGAAGAAAAAAAAAAGUAGGAAGCUACCGCUGAUUAACAACGGCAGCCCCAAACAAAAGUUAGGGUUAGAUAAAU
rnacentral:lncRNA from 1 species